rnacentral:lncRNA from 1 species
GUAUAUGUAUGAUUAAAACAGGAAUAAAGCUUAUAAUUGGUAGCAGAAAAUCUGAGGAAAGCUUCACCAGAAGUGGAAUUAUUUGCCGGUCAUCUCUUCCUCAGCUGAGAAGCAGCAGCAGCAGAAGAAGAAGAACUGGGCGAGUGCUAGAGCUCAGUCUCCAUGGCAGUGUUCUCAAAAGUCCCGGGUGGGAUUCAACAGCCAUCUACUGACCUCAGCCUCCCUCCAGGUAACUGCAUGCUCACUAUAUCUUCCCUUGGCAGGGUGGCGGCCUCUGUGCCGGAGCUUCUCCGGCCAACCUCCACCCCGUCGCUGAGCAACGGCUUGAUCACAUUCUUGUUCUUCCUGAUGACCAGGUACCCGAUGGCGGCUAUGUAGACGAGCAUCCCCGAGAAGCCGA